UCUAAGGGCGUGUUUUACAACAAUAUUUCGGAAGCUAACGCCUUUCAGGCGAGCGGUUCGGAUAUAUUGUGCCGUCAUCACCUCUGCCAUCGAGGCACGCGUCAUGCGCGCAAUAUACCCCAUGCCGUAAAGUGCGAUCGUAAUCACCGGCAAUAGGAAGUUUUCUAU
rnacentral:ncRNA from 1 species